UACAGAGGUCUCAAGCGUUGUUCGGAUUCAUUGGGCGUAAAGGGUGCGUAGGCGGUCGGGUAAGUCUGACGUGAAAUCUCCAAGCUCAACUUGGAAAUGGCGUCGGAUACUAUUCGGCUCGAGGAAUGGAGGGGAGACUGGAAUACUUGGUGUAGCAGUGAAAUGCGUAGAUAUCAAGUGGAACACCAGUGGCGAAGGCGAGUCUCUGGACAUUUCCUGACGCUGAGGCACGAAAGCCAGGGGAGCAAACGGG
rnacentral:rRNA from 1 species